rnacentral:rRNA from 1 species
GAUGAACGCUGGCGGCGUGCCUAAUACAUGCAAGUCGAGCGAACAGACGAGGAGCUUGCUCCUCUGACGUUAGCGGCGGACGUGUGAGUAACACGUGGAUAACCUACCUAUAAGACUGGGAUAACUUCGGGAAACCGGAGCUAAUACCGGAUAAUAUAUUGAACCGCAUGGUUCAAUAGUGAAAGAGGGUUUUGCUGUCACUUAUUGAUGGAUCCGCGCCGCAUUAGCUAGUUGGUACGGUAACGGCUUACCAAGGCGACGAUGCGUAGCCGACCUGAGAGGGUGAUCGGCCACACUGGAACUGAGACACGGUCCAGACUCCUACGGGAGGCAGCAGUAGGGAAUCUUCCGCAAUGGGCGAAAGCCUGACGGAGCAACGCCGCGUGAGUGAUGAAGGUCUUCGGAUCGUAAAACUCUGUUAUUAGGGAAGAACAAAUGUGUAAGUAACUAUGCACGUCUUGACGGUACCUAAUCAGAAAGCCACGGCUAACUACGUG